UUGAACGCUGGCGGCAGGCCUAACACAUGCCAGUCGAACGGUAACAGGAAACAGCUUGCUGUUUCGCUGACGAGUGGCGGACGGGUGAGUAAUGUCUGGGAAACUGCCUGAUGGAGGGGGAUAACUACUGGAAACGGUAGCUAAUACCGCAUAACGUCGCAAGACCAAAGAGGGGGACCUUCGGGCCUCUUGCCAUCGGAUGUGCCCAGAUGGGAUUAGCUAGUAGGUGGGGUAACGGCUCACCUAGGCGACGAUCCCUAGCUGGUCUGAGAGGAUGACCAGCCACACUGGAACUGAGACACGGUCCAGACUCCUACGGGAGGCAGCAGUGGGGAAUAUUGCACAAUGGGCGCAAGCCUGAUGCAGCCAUGCCGCGUGUAUGAAGAAGGCCUUCGGGUUGUAAAGUACUUUCAGCGGGGAGGAAGGGAGUAAAGUUAAUACCUUUACUCAUUGACGUUACCCGCAGAAGAAGCACCGGCUAACUCCGUG
rnacentral:rRNA from 1 species